rnacentral:rRNA from 1 species
GAGUUUGAUCGUGGCUCAGAUUGAACGCUGGCGGCAUGCCUUACACAUGCAAGUCAAACGGCAGCAUGAUCUAGCUUGCUAGAUUGAUGGCGAGUGGCGAACGGGUGAGUAAUACAUCGGAACGUGCCCUGUAGUGGGGGAUAACUAGUCGAAAGAUUAGCUAAUACCGCAUACGACCUGAAGGUGAAAGUGGGGGACCGCAAGGCCUCAUGCUAUAGGAGCGGCCGAUGUCUGAUUAGCUAGUUGGUGGGGUAAAGGCCCACCAAGGCGACGAUCAGUAGCUGGUCUGAGAGGACGAUCAGCCACACUGGGACUGAGACACGGCCCAGACUCCUACGGGAGGCAGCAGUGGGGAAUUUUGGACAAUGGGCGAAAGCCUGAUCCAGCAAUGCCGCGUGUGUGAAGAAGGCCUCGG